UGGGGAAUUUUGGACAAUGGGGGCAACCCUGAUCCAGCAAUGCCGCGUGAGUGAAGAAGGCCUUCGGGUUGUAAAGCUCUUUUGUCAGGGAAGAAAAGGUCGUGGCUAAUAUCCACGACUGCUGACGGUACCUGAAGAAUAAGCACCGGCUAACUACGUGCCAGCAGCCGCGGUAAUACGUAGGGUGCAAGCGUUAAUCGGAAUUACUGGGCGUAAAGCGUGCGCAGGCGGUUUCGUAAGUCUGUCGUGAAAUCCCCGGGCUUAACCUGGGAAUGGCGAUGGAGACUGCGAGGCUAGAGUUUGGCAGAGGGGGGUAGAAUUCCACGUGUAGCAGUGAAAUGCGUAGAGAUGUGGAGGAACACCGAUGGCGAAGGCAGCCCCCUGGGUCAAAACUGACGCU
rnacentral:rRNA from 1 species